CUUCUCGUGGCUUAAUAGUAGAGCAAUGGUGUGUAAAGCCAGGGACCCGAGUUCGAUUCCCGACGAGAGCG
rnacentral:tRNA from 1 species